rnacentral:rRNA from 1 species
UACGUAGGGUGCAAGCGUUAAUCGGAAUUACUGGGCGUAAAGCGUGCGCAGGCGGUGAUGUAAGACAGGUGUGAAAUCCCCGGGCUUAACUUGGGAAUUGCGCUUGUGACUGGCGUGCUGGAGUGUGGCAGAGGGAGGUGGAAUUCCACGUGUAGCAGUGAAAUGCGUAGAGAUGUGGAGGAACACCGAUGGCGAAGGCAGCCUCCUGGGCCAGCACUGACGCUCAUGCACGAAAGCGUGGGGAGCAAACAGG